GAGGAACAUAAAAAGCCCAGGAGAGAGCACCACACGCGAGCCUACCAUGGUUGACUUGGGGGACGGUGUCAUGGUUCCAGAAUCCACCCUCGCACGUCUAGAACAAACCUACAGAGGCUCAGCAUGCCGUUUUGCACGUGCGCUGUUGAGGGUGCUCUUCACGGAAGAAGAAUUGAAGAAAAAGAGUCUCUUUGGAAAGCCCGCCAACAAUGGGAAGGGGCAGGAACAAAAAGAUGCCCUGGACCCAAGGCGUGUAAAAGCAGUUCUUGGAAAGACUUGCUCAGUGUUCCAGUGUUCUGAUGCGCCAAUAAAGAGGACCCUAAGCUCCCUCCUUCAAAAACAGAACAAGAAAUACGAAGAAGU